UACGGAGGGUGCAAGCGUUAUCCGGAUUCACUGGGUUUAAAGGGUGCGUAGGUGGGCAGGUAAGUCAGUGGUGAAAUCUCUGGGCUUAACCCGGAACUGCCGUUGAUACUAUCUGUCUUGAAUGUAGUGGAGGUGAGCGGAAUAUGUCAUGUAGCGGUGAAAUGCUUAGAUAUGACAUAGAACAUCGAUUGCGAAGGCAGCUCGCUACACUAUGAUUGACACUGGAGGCACGAAAGCGUGGGGAUCAAACAGG
rnacentral:rRNA from 1 species